GAUGAACGCUGGCGGCGUGCCUAAUACAUGCAAGUCGAGCGAACGGACGAGAAGCUUGCUUCUCUGAUGUUAGCGGCGGACGGGCGAGUAACACGUGGAUAACCUACCUAUAAGACUGGGAUAACUUCGGGAAACCGGAGCUAAUACCGGAUAAUAUUAUGAACCGCAUGGUUCAAAAGUGAAAGACGGUCUUGCUGUCACUUAUAGAUGGAUCCGCGCUGCAUUAGCUAGUUGGUAAGGUAACGGCUUACCAAGGCAACGAUGCAUAGCCGACCUGAGAGGGUGAUCGGCCACACUGGAACUGAGACACGGUCCAGACUCCUACGGGAGGCAGCAGUAGGGAAUCUUCCGCAAUGGGCGAAAGCCUGACGGAGCAACGCCGCGUGAGUGAUGAAGGUCUUCGGAUCGUAAAACUCUGUUAUUAGGGAAGAACAUAUGUGUAAGUAACUGUGCACAUCUUGACGGUACCUAAUCAGAAAGCCACGGCUAACUACGUG
rnacentral:rRNA from 1 species